ACGGCUAACUCCUGGACAGGAUGCGGGGUAAUACGGGGGAUCCAGGCGUGAUCCGGAAUCAUUGGGGUUAAAGGGUCCGUAGGCGGUCUUAUAAGUCAGUGGUGAAAGCCCAUAGCUCAACGAUGGAACUGCCAUUGAUACUGUAAGACUUGAAUGCUUAGGAAGUAACUAGAAUAUGUAGUGUAGCGGUGAAAUGCUUAGAUAUUACAUGGAAUACCAAUUGCGAAGGCAGGUUACUACUAAGUGAUUGACGCUGAUGGACGAAAGCGUGGGGAGCGAACAGGAUUAGAUACCCGUAGUC
rnacentral:rRNA from 1 species